GCCUGGGUGGCUCAGUCGGUUAAGCAUCUGACUUUGGCUCAGGUCAUGAUCUCGCAGUUUGUGAGCUCGUGUCUCACAUCGGGUG
rnacentral:tRNA from 1 species